rnacentral:lncRNA from 1 species
GUCAAAUCAGAAAAAGAACCUGACCGUGAGGACUAGAGUAAGAGGCUGUGAAGACUGCCGCCUCCUCGCACGACCCACACCGUCGAGUGUCCGGAGAUGGACGGGAAAAGCUACCACAGUGGCAUGGCCUUAUUUCCUUGCGUCUUUGUGCGGAGGCUGCGGCUCCUGGGUUGACUCGUCUGAAAUGUCACCUCUAAUUGGGAAGCCACAUCUCUCACAGAUGGCCAGG